rnacentral:misc_RNA from 1 species
AAAGUCGUAACAAGGUUUCCGUAGGUGAACCUGCGGAAGGAUCAUCAAUAAUCCAUACGGUUGAGUAGGUAAAACUAUUCAAUCUAACCAUCUUGUGCACUGUUUAUCGUUGAUUGGUUGGGAAAAAAACUGUGACUCCAAUUUUAAUUGGAACCGAUUCCCAACUAAUUCAUUAUAUACAAACUAUUUUAUUUUUGUUGUUUAUUUACAUGAAAAUGUGUUAAUUUAUACAACUUACAGCGAUGGAUCUCUAGGCUCUG